rnacentral:lncRNA from 1 species
AGUAGCACCGGGAUCCUGAUGUGUGGCCAGUCCUGGAGUGUGAGUUAGGGUGUUCAGGGCUCUCGAGGAAAGGGAACCCUGCCUGUUCCCCCAGCCCCUGGACCUUGAGGGGCCACUUUAGCCUUGACAGCCCCUGCGAACCUGCUGUGGAUUCAGGACACUCCUCUGUGUGCUCCGGGCUGGUGCACCUGCGGUCAGCAGGGGUCCCACUCCUCCCCUCAGACACCUUUGUUCUCUUGUCUUUGUGGCUGGCCCUGGCUUCCCAAGCCAGCCCACCAGCCCUUAUCCUUUGCCGGGCAAGUCCCUCUCCCAGCCACCACCCCCCCCCCCUUCUUGCACAGCUUUGUACCCAUUCAAGUCUCAGAUCAGAACCUGGCAUGGGACAGGGUGGGACCCCACCGCUCACUGCAGCCCUUCCUCCCCCAAUGCUCCCUCUUCUGCCCACAUCCCCUUAUUUGCCCCAAUCCCCUCACCCUGCCCUUGCUCCCCGCCCCUCUCUCCUCUCGGCCUGGCCCCCUCCCGAUUUCCUCUUCCCUCCUUUCUUGGCCCUCCAGUCCGGGGAGUCAGGCUUUCUCUCGGCAGGGACAGGGGCAGCUCGUCCUCCCCUCUUUCCUCACCCUCUCCCUUCUCUCUUCCCCCUCCAGCCUCCACUCCUCAGUCCUCGCCUGCUCACUCACCCUCUCCCUCUCCCGCUGCCCCCCUCUUUCUCCCCCACCUCUUUGUUUCAGCUGAGAACCGGCUCCUCGGGACAGUUCCCACACUGCAGUGCCUCUGGUGAGGAGACAGCGCCACUGAGCUUCCGAUUUGCAUGGAGCUUCCUCAAAGAGAUUCAUCUGGUGCUGAUAACCCCAGCCCACCAGAGCCAUAGGAUAAAUGGGUUUACCUAAGCUGACCGUGAAAGGCUCUCCAGACCCACAGUCAUGCCAAGUGCAGAGAAUGAGAAGGCUUUAAUGUGAAGGAGGCCUGAGCACCAUUGUGGCAAAAUCCUCAAGCCAUGGAAAGUAUCAGCACAUGAUGACAAAUGCUGGGAACUCAACCCAGGGCUUCACACAUGCUAGAAUAGUAUCAUUGACCACAUUCCCAGACCUCUUGUUGUUGUUGUUGUUGUUGCUGCUGCUGCUGCUGCUGCUGCUGCUGCUGCUGCUGCUGCUGUUCUUGGCUUCCUCCCAGGACUUUCCAGGCCAGGCCCCUGCCAACUCAUAUGUUGGCUUAAGCUCUCAUCUCCCUGUCACGUGUUGGGAACCCAGGGCCUACUGAAGAAGUGAUUAGUGCACCUGAGCAGGAUAGGCAGCCUGAGCCAGCCCUCCACCCUUCAGCUGCGACAGGGCCUUGCGGAUGGUGUUCAGCUCCUGGAUCGUGGCUCCUCGGGCUGCCAGCAGCUUGAUGUUCAACAGGGUGAACUUCCAGCUGAGGAGAGGUGACCAACCUGACACCACUCACUAGGUACCCUCCAGGUUCCUCACUGUCUGCCAUGGUCCUGACUUCACCCUGUGACCAUAUGGUACUCGGGGCACCCCUGUCGGCUGGUCCCACACCUGAGAUGAGCACCAGCAGCAGGUCAUCUGCAGUGAGCCCCUCUGCCAGCUGCUGGAUGGUCAGCGCGGCCCGGAGUGCAUCCCGAUCCGCACAGCCUCGUGUCCAUAGCUGCCUAGAGAGGGAGGAGAAGGAGUGAGGCCACGGACAGAACCCCACCAUCCAUCAUGGCCACCCCUCCGAGGGCUCAGGACUGGCGGACUCCAUAACCUGAAAUGAAACCUGGAGAAGUCAUGAAGCCUGCAGCAAACCUGAUCUUACACCAGCCCUGAAAGCCCAGCCCUGAUGCCCAGCCACGUCCUCUUCUGUAGACCACACACCAGUCUUCUGGACACUCUGCUCCAAGUCCAAAGUUCCUGUUAAGUGGACCUUCCUCCUAGGUCACCUCCUUUGCCUAGAAGUUAAUCAUUCAUGAAGGACGCCGUUCCUACCAGCAGGCCCCUGGGCCAUUCUUCUUCCACAUCCUGUACUUCCAAAGCCCUCACACCACGGCAGUGCCCCCUUUCUGGCAUUUAUGCCUUAGACGUUCCUUUACCACUUCUACUGCCAAGAAAAAAAAAAAAAAAGGCUAUUGGUUGUCUAGCCAACUGACCCGGAGUCCAUUGACCUCUAGCCUGCUCUGUUAGCUCAUACAACCAGUCUGGCAAAGCUGGGUCCAUGUGGAAAGGCUGCAGAUUUACCAGUGCACACAGCCUAAGGAAGCUCAGGACUCAGGCUAGUUCAGCAAGUGGUCCAGGCACGAAUCAAGAGUAACCACAAAUCUCACUCAAGGUCAGACCUUCAGCAAGUCCCCAGGUUAUAAGCAAAAGGACAUGUGCUAUGGGGCUCAAUCUAUAGGACAAGACCAGACACCCUUGUCCCCAUACAGCUGGUCAUGAUCAGCCUUGCCAGGAACAUCCCUUUCUGGCUCCAUGAUAGCAAAAAACAAGUCCUGAGUUACACCCUUCACAACAAAAACAGCCCAGUGCUAGAGCAGGCAAAGGCCGGGUUCCAGUAAUGAAGCCCAAACAAUCAUUUUCUCCACUGGGCAGAGUGAAGGACAGAAAGGUCUUGGGGUAAAGGUCGGGAAGCUACAGCGUAACUAUACAGGAACAAUAAAAGACUCAGCUGCAAAAA